UAUGGCCACAUCAUAUUGAAACAACAGCUUCUGUACAAUCACUGAAGUUAGGCAACGUUGGGCCUGAUCAGUACCUAGAUGGGUGACCACUUGUGAAUACCAGGUGCUGUAAG